rnacentral:lncRNA from 1 species
UGGUUUGGAAGACUGAAGUGGAAACCUUGGGAAAGUGGGCCUCAGAGUAUGUCAGCUGGGGUCAGACGGGAACAGGAGGCUGGCUCAACACACAUUUAUUGCACUCCUGCUUCAUGCCAAGAAAUGCACCAAAAUCUGGAAUUGUGUAACACAGCAAAGGAAAAGACUCAUCUCCAGGAAGCCCCCUUGUCUAGGAAGAGAAAUUGAAUAUCAGCAUAAGGUGGUGAAAAGCUGUGAAGGAGAUGAGUGCCACAAGUCCAUGGAGGAAGGAUUCUAGCCUGGACAGAGUCUCCAUGAAUUGCAAGGGAAAACAAUGGUACACUGGCAUUUCUAUUUGAUAACCCGUUCUCUUUGGAAUUCUGGUUAGAAAUCAAAGGCUUACUUGAGUUUUAAUGCUUUCAGGACUUGAAAUACUUUUCUAUCUUCCUAAUAAUAUAUUAACAUUUUCUGAGGACAACAUAUAUCUGGAAAACAACAUUAUUUACUCAAAUAAUUUUUUUUGAAAAAUGGACCAAAAAAAAA